rnacentral:rRNA from 1 species
GACGAACGCUGGCGGCGUGCCUAAUACAUGCAAGUUGAGCGCUGAAGGUUGGUACUUGUACCAACUGGAUGAGCAGCGAACGGGUGAGUAACGCGUGGGGAAUCUGCCUUUGAGCGGGGGACAACAUUUGGAAACGAAUGCUAAUACCGCAUAAAAACUUUAAACACAAGUUUUAAGUUUGAAAGAUGCAAUUGCAUCACUCAAAGAUGAUCCCGCGUUGUAUUAGCUAGUUGGUGAGGUAAAGGCUCACCAAGGCGAUGAUACAUAGCCGGCCUGAGAGGGUGAUCGGCCACAUUGGGAAUGAGACACGGCCCAAACCCCUACGGGAGGCAGCAGUAGGGAAUCUUUGGCAAUGGACGAAAGUCUGACCGAGCAACGCCGCGUGAGUGAAGAAGGUUGUCGGAUCGUAAAACUCUGUUGGUAGAGAAGAACGUUGGUGAGAGUGGAAAGCUCAUCAAGUGACGGUAACUACCCAGAAAGGGACGGCUAACUACGUG